UAAAGUCAUGAUUUGAGUCAUGAAAAGUAUGAUUUGAGUCAAAUAAGUCAGAAGGAAAAACAUGGAAUUGCAUCGUUUUAUGAUUCGAUUCAUGAAACCUGUGAUCCGAAUCACGGGGUUCUAUGAUUCGAGUCAAGUGUAAAUUGUGAGUCGAAUCAUGACAGGUUCACAAGCUUCGUGAAAGCCUCUAUUUCAUUUGAUUUAAGUCAUAUAAUGUAUGAAUCAAAUCACACGUCUAGAAUCUCAAUUUUUUCCAAUUUUAAAGAUAUUUUAAGAUUCAACUAUGUCAUGACUUGAAUCAUUCUCAAAUAUGGUUCUUGAUCCAAAAACUUUACAAAGUGACUUAAAGCAUAUUGCUUACACUAAAAAACAAACAGUUUGAUUUAUACAUGUAAAAUACAAAAUAUCAUUUAAGAAAACAUUGCACUCAAUUCUAAGAUAUUUGCAAAGAUAUAACUUACAGGAGACUCAAUUACAAAAUUAAUAAAUAAUAAACAAUAAUAAACGUACAACAAAAUCAAAGCCUUAGAGAGCAUAUCAACUUCAUAUUGGUUUUGUCGUCUAAAAAAGGAGUAGAGGUGUAGCUUGUUGUUUGUUUGCCUGUUAUUUCUCUAUAAUCUUUAUUAUAUGAUAUUAUCAAUCAAAUCCUUUUGUCACUGAGAGUAUGAAUGAAUUCAAUUUUGUAAAAUAAAAAAGAAUUAGCUUACUCGCCGAGCAUUUUUGAAGGAAUUGGUUAUGCCUCAAGGUGUUUUUGGACAAGAAGAUAGAGGUUUUGUCUCGAGAUUUUUGUCCUAAUUAAGGUUUUUAUCAUUUUUUAGUCAUGUGUGAUUUUUAGAGAGAGCGAAUGGUUAGAUUAGUUGUUGAAUUAAUUAAAUAUAAAUAAAUAUAAUUAAUUAUUAAUAAAUUAUAUUAUGGUCAAUUAUUAUAAAAUACUAAUAAAAAGAUGAAUUAUUUGAUUGGAUUUUGUACCUGUAUGAAUCGUAAUGAGUUGGACCAUUUAGUUAAGUCCAAUGAAAUGUCCAUGUCCUUAGUCGUUUAACUAUUUAAAUGUGUUAUAUUAAACAUUUAGCAUACUAUGAUGAACCUAGACGACAAUGAGAGUAGUAAUCUGCUCAUAUUAAUUUU
rnacentral:lncRNA from 1 species